CUCACGUGUCACGGAUGAGCGUUCCACAGGCUGCAGCCAAGUGCUCCUGCCUCACGUGUGUGACCACAGGAGCAGCCAGCUUCCAUGUGACUGGGGAGGAAUGUUGAGCACAGCUUUCAGUGUGCUUUAAUGCAUGCCUGCAAAUUUCUACAGCUGUUGUAUAGUCGAGUGGAUUUCUUUUAUGAAGUGCUUGUAAGAUGUCAUUUAACAGGGUUGAUAUUGAAAAACAGCUCAUGCUUUUUCUCUUCUUUUACAUCAGCAGGGGUUUUGGAGCAGUGAUGCAGAGAAUUUGCAGGGAAGCCCAGGACAUCUUUCAGCCGAUGGGACCCAUACAUGAAAUGUAGUCCAGAAAUGGCUCCAAAGAACUUUCAGCAUCAAUCAACAAGAUAGAUGAAGAGGAAGAGAGAAGCAGAACUACUUUCCCACAUAUGAAGUCAAGAGGAAACCAAGAAUGUAAUGCACAGAUGAGCAUCUUGGAACAUAUCAAGUAUAUGCAUCUCUUUGGACCAUCAAAUCUUUUUACAUGUAUUUGGAACCUUUGAAAAGAAAGUGGAGAAUAGGAGAGCAGUUGAAUAAUAGAUUCAGAGAGAAGCUGCUUGUGAAAUGAAUACAGAUCUACAUAAAUGAAGAGGGGAACAAUACAAAAGAAAAAAAACAAAAGAAUCUAUCACAGAAAGACAGUGUUUAUGCUAAUGAAAAUUAUCACAAUUAGCUGUUAGACUAGUCUUCUGAUAAGAUAUUGAACCAAACCAAAAUGGACCUCUCUCCCUCAGCACUACUGAAGUGAGUAAUUUUUUUGUGAGUGAAAUUGUUUCAGUGUCACAGGGCGAGGAAAUGAUAAACAUCACUAUAAUCUCUUGCACUGUAACAGAGCCAUGGAGUAUAGCAGGAAGUGAAAUCUAAGCAUACCUUGGGGUGAAAAAAAACAAGUUUAAAUAUUAGGAUCUUGCAUGUUUUCUAAUCAUUUCAGAUCUUUCAUCUUCCCGAAAUGUGGGAUGAAGAUACGCUUUCUUAUGAAGCAGAGAACCCAAACAGUUUCAUACUUGUUCAUAUGACUCCAGGAGCUGGUUUUAUCACAGAGAAAGUACAUCAUGGGAUUCAUAACAGCAUUUGCAAAGCUUGGUCACACUGGGUCAUGUGAAAUUGUGAUCUUGUCACUCAACACAGAUCAGUGGCUGUUGAGUGCAAAGGAAGCUGCCUGGAUGUUUGAAUCAUCAAAUUUUCAUUAUAGUAAAAGAUGGAGGAGUCGGUGGUUACGUGCUGCACUGCUUGGUGGAUACACGCCUGGCUAUAGUAGGUUGAAAGGAAAUCAAGGGUGGUGCUGCUAACAUUCCACCCUCAGCUCCCUAUUCACCUCUCAUCAUCCACCCUUGCAUUUCAACUCAAUCAUUUUACCCACCCACCUAGUUUCCAUGUGAAAUUGUGCUAAUGGAUGUCUGUCCCACAAUACACAGGGAGACUUGAGCUGUUUUUGUAAUUUGCAACUUUCUUUUGAAUUUCAAGUGUUUCCAACUUGCAAAAUCCUGGUUUGGGUCAACAUCUGGACUCCAUCCAUGCGUGUGUAAUUCAAGGAUCAUAGCACAUAGAAGUUAGAGGUUGAUCAUCAAAAUUUCCUUGUGGUUCAGGGACAUUAGAUACUGGGAUUUUGCUAUAAUUCUGUGUCUAGCAGGAAGGAAAGGGCCAGAAAGGGAACUGAUAAUGAUUUGAAUGGAGUAGGACCUUGGGCAAUUGUGUUCUGUGUUCCCUGCAAGCUCUGCACAGUCAUUAACACUGACGAAGCAUUAGAGACGUGUGGUGCCAGUUAGAGGUCAGUCCUUCCAGGAGCCCUUGCCAUAUUUUUAUGUCCACAUCUCCUACCUGUGUCUUGGCAGAACUAGAGCAACACAGUGGAACACCAGACUUUACACACCUUGUCUACAUUACCCUCUUCCAAAGGCCUUUCACUUUCUGUUCUCAGUCCAAACUUCCCUUUUUCUUUAUUUUGUCUUCUCCUUUUAGUUUCUCUCCUUUUCCUUCACUCCUUUGGUCUAUCGGAAAUCUCCCUCAUGCCAGGAGAGGCCAAAACUGAACAAUCAAGAGGGCAUCUGGCAGGAAAGAAGCAUCAGGUUGCAUUGUGAACUUUUAUGGUACUUGCAGCAUGGCCUGUUUUUACAAUCAACUGCCGAGAGAAGAUGUUCAAGAGGAUGUGUUCGGCAGCAGAUCAGGGCACAGCAGCCAGGUGGGAUUCCUGGUGCAGAGCUGGCCAAGUCUCCCAGCUGAAGUUUCAUUCUGGGCUAUAGAGGAGUCUUCAAUUACUGACUGAAUAUUUUUUGGUGUCAGGGCCUCAGUUAAAUGUGUAGGAGAGGAGCUAGGCAGAAGUGACAGCAUUGGUAGAUUUAUAUUAGUGGUCAGAGCAAGCCUGGCUGCACAUGGGGCAGCAGGCACUGGCCUCUGUUUCUUUCCUCUGUCCGCUGUGAACAUUUUACCUUGCUUGCACUGUCAGAGGCUGUCCCAGAUCCUAGGCUGUAGCAUUGUUUUCUCUCUCCUUCUGGUCCAAUAAUUAUUCAACUGGUCUAUGCAAAGUGGAAUUCCUUCAGGCAGAGUUGCCCUUCUGUAUCUGUUUAGAGACUUCACUGAACACAUGCUGUCUUAGGUAUACUCAGGCUGAGCAAAAGCCCUAAAUUUAAAUGCUGCUCAGAUGGAUCAGGGACCUUAGCUACUGGCAGGGAGUUUAGGACAAGGACAAGAUCCUUGUGGGUUCACUUUGAAAAAACUUACCUAUUUGGUUUUUGCCCUAUUAUUACAACUCAGGGAGCCAAAGGAUUCUUUAGACACAGGCUGUCUUGGCCUUGCUUUGAUUUAUAUAUAUUUGGAGAAUGUAACUUCUAGAUGUGUUGCAAGUAGCUGGAAGAAGCCCUGAGGACUCAAAUGCCUCCAAGCCCAGGGAUGGGGUUUUAAGGAGACAAGACAAUAGACAUGCUCUUUUGUAUUUUCAGUGCAGGGUGAAAAAAAGCCGCAUGCUUCAUCCCUUCACAUUAACAUAGGAAAAUCAUCUCACUGAAGUGCACAUCCUCCUAUUUCUGAGGCAAAGCAGAAGAAUAUGAGACAACAGAAACAAUGGAAACUGCAACAAAUUAAUAAAUUUUAUUCUAACACAAGGCCAAGACUUCAGAAGUGUUUAUUUCAUCCUUAAAUAGUUCAGCUUUCAUCCUGAUCAUCUCCUGAUUUUUUUUACCUGGCAGAGCCCUGCUGUAUGGAAUAAAAUAGAACAGAAACCUGCACACAUAGAAAUUCAUCCAAUCCUGUCACACAUCAGCCCUUUCUGCAGAAUUGCCCAGUAAUGUUUAAUUGUCAAACAACUCUUUACUGCAAAAACAUUA